rnacentral:ncRNA from 1 species
AACGAGGACUAGGUGGCAGUUCACUCUAAUUUUUGUCAAUGAGUGUCUAGAUCUCUCUAAGAUCACUAGUAUGGCACAUUGGUUACUCAUGUAUCCUAUGUUUAUUGUAAAUUAUUCACUCUUUGAGUGUGGAAUACAUAGUUAAUACACCUCAUUAUUCUGUCUCUCAUUCUUCUCUCUCUCUCUCAGUUUCUUUUGCAAGCUUUGUGUGAAUUUAUACUAUACUAGCUAGGUUCUCUAUUUAGGUUUUAGCAAAACUUCACAACAAGUAAUGAUUAAUAGGGACUAUUGGGGGCAUUUGUAUUUCUUUGUCUAAGGUGAAAUUAUUGGAUUUAUGAAAGACGAACCAUCGUGAAAGCAUUUGGCAAGAAUGUUUUCAUUAUUGAAGAAUGAAAGUUAGGGGCUCGAAGAUGAUUAUAUAUCAUCCUAGUCUCAACCAUAAAUGAUGUUGAACAUGGAUCAAUGGAUGUUGCUCUAAGGACUCCUCCAACAACUUCUAAGAAAUCAUAGUGUUUGGGUUUCGGGCAAAGUAUUGUUGUAAGACUAAAACUUAAAGGAAAUGAUGGAAAGGCACCACUAAGAGUGGAGCCAGUGGCUAGGAAAACUUACUAGGUACAAACAUAGUAAGGAUUGAUAGAUUGAGAUCUCUUUCUUGAUUAUAUUGGUGGUGGUGCAUAAACGUUCUUAUUUGUUGGAGCGAUAUUUUUGGUUAAUUUCAAUAAAGAACGAGACCUUAUCCUACUAACUAGCUAUGUGGAGGUUCCCCUUCAUGGAUAACUUCUUAGGGGGGCUAUGGUCGUUUAGGCCAUGGAAGUUUGAGGCAAUAAUAGGUAUGUGAUGCUAUUACGUGUUCUAGGCCACAUGCAUGCUACAUUGAUGUAGUAAAAAAGGCAUGCAC